rnacentral:rRNA from 1 species
GAUGAACGCUGGCGGCGUGCCUAAUACAUGCAAGUCGAGCGAACGGACGAGAAGCUUGCUUUUCUGAUGUUAGCGGCGGACGGGUGAGUAACACGUGGAUAACCUACCUAUAAGACUGGGAUAACUUCGGGAAACCGGAGCUAAUACCGGAUAAUAUUUUGAACCGCAUGGUUCAAAAGUGAAAGACGGUCUUGCUGUCACUUAUAGAUGGAUCCGCGCUGCAUUAGCUAGUUGGUAAGGUAACGGCUUACCAAGGCAACGAUGCAUAGCCGACCUGAGAGGGUGAUAGGCAACACUGGAACUGAGAAAAGGUCCAGACACCGACGGGAGGCAGCAGUAGGGAAUCUUAAGCAAUGGGCGAAAGCAUGACGGAGCAAAGACGCGAGAGUGAUGAAGGUAUACGGAUAGUAAAACUCUGUUAUUAGAGAAGAACAAAUGUGGAAGUAACUAUGCACGUCUUGACGGUACCUAAUCAGAAAGCAACGGAUAACUACGGG